GUUUUGGUAGCUUAUAUUCUAGAGCAUAGCAUUGAAGCUGCUACAGAGGGCGGCACUGCCCCCGAGACA
rnacentral:tRNA from 1 species